UACGGAGGGUGCAAGCGUUAUCCGGAAUCACUGGGCGUAAAGGGCGCGUAGGCGGUCUAUUAAGUCCGAUGUUAAAGACCGGGGCUCAACCCCGACACGGCGUUGGAUACUGGUAGGCUUGACGGCUGGAGAGGAAAGUGGAAUUACCAGUGUAGCGGUGAAAUGCGUAGAUACUGGUAGGAACACCCAUUGCGAAGGCAGCUUUCUGGACAGUUUGUGACGCUGAGGCGCGAAAGUGUGGGGAGCAAACCGGAUUAGAACCCGGGUAGUCC
rnacentral:rRNA from 1 species